rnacentral:rRNA from 1 species
AUUGAACGCUGGCGGCAGGCCUAACACAUGCAAGUCGAGCGGCAGCGGAAAGUAGCUUGCUACUUUGCCGGCGAGCGGCGGACGGGUGAGUAAUGUCUGGGAAACUGCCUGAUGGAGGGGGGUAACUACUGGAAACGGUAGCUAAUACCGCAUGACCUCGAAAGAGCAAAGUGGGGGAUCUUCGGACCUCACGCCAUCGGAUGUGCCCAGAUGGGAUUAGCUAGUAGGUGAGGUAAUGGCUCACCUAGGCGACGAUCCCUAGCUGGUCUGAGAGGAUGACCAGCCACACUGGAACUGAGACACGGUCCAGACUCCUACGGGAGGCAGCAGUGGGGAAUAUUGCACAAUGGGCGCAAGCCUGAUGCAGCCAUGCCGCGUGUGUGAAGAAGGCCUUAGGGUUGUAAAGCACUUUCAGCGAGGAGGAAGGCAUCAUACUUAAUACGUGUGGUGAUUGACGUUACUCGCAGAAGAAGCACCGGCUAACUCCGUGCCAGCAGCCGCGGUAAUACGGAGGGUGCAAGCGUUAAUCGGAAUUACUGGGCGUAAAGCGCACGCAGGCGGUUUGUUAAGUCAGAUGUGAAAUCCCCGCGCUUAACGUGGGAACUGCAUUUGAAACUGGCAAGCUAGAGUCUUGUAGAGGGGGGUAGAAUUCCAGGUGUAGCGGUGAAAUGCGUAGAGAUCUGGAGGAAUACCGGUGGCGAAGGCGGCCCCCUGGACAAAGACUGACGCUCAGGUGCGAAAGCGUGGGGAGCAAACAGG